UACGAAGGGGCUAGCGUUGCUCGGAAUUACUGGGCGUAAAGGGCGCGUAGGCGGCACAACUAGUCAGGCGUGAAAUCCUGGCUUAACCUGGGACUGCGCUUGAUACGGUUGAGCUAGAGGACGGAAGAGGGUCGUGGAAGUUCCCAGUGUAGAGGUGAAAUUCGUAGAUAUUCGCAAGAACACCAGUGGCGAAGGCGGCUCACUGGCCCAUUACUGACGCUGAGGCACGAAAGCGUGGGAGCAA
rnacentral:rRNA from 1 species